rnacentral:lncRNA from 1 species
UCUUCCUAGAUACUGUUUUGGGGACUAGUUUCUUGUCUUUUGUCCUUGAUUUAUUAUUGCCUUUAUGUGUUCUCCCCAUUUGGUUCAUUUUAUUCUUAUUUUAAAAGAACAGCUCCAAAGACCCUUCUAUUUUCAUGGAAAUUGCUCAGUAGUAACAAUUUCAGAUAGCUUCCAAAAGAAUAAUCAUCACACUGGCCAUUUUACCCAAGAAGCUUUGCAGCAUUUCACAUAACAAUUUACUAAUUAAUGACAAAUUAAAUGGAAUCUGGUAAGAAGAAUCAGAGGUUAGAGUGCUGGUAUAUAUUGUGUGUAAAAAGGUAUGCAAAUAUCUUCAGCCCAUUUGUGGUUCAUCAGUGGGAAAUAAUAGCUAUUCUACUCGACAAUUUCACAUGCAGGAGGGCUGCCGCAUAGAAGCAGAAUUUGGAAAUUAUACAUCAUUUUAACUUUUUAACAGUUUUUCAGAUUAGAUACUGUUCCUUCAUUUUAAAGGCACAAUGAACUUAAUCUUUUUUGUUUUAGUAGAUGUAAAAUCAUGGAAAUUCUACUAUACUUUGCUGCUUAUAUUAAUUACAUAU